rnacentral:rRNA from 1 species
ACAGGGUGACAGGUGGUGCAUGGUUGUCGUCAGCUCGUGUCGUGAGAUGUUGGGUUAAGUCCCGCAACGAGCGCAACCCUCGACCUUAGUUGCCAGCAUUCAGUUGGGCACUCUAAGGUGACUGCCGGCUAAAAGUCGGAGGAAGGUGGGGAUGACGUCAAAUCAUCAUGCCCCUUAUGACCUGGGCUACACACGUGCUACAAUGGGCUGUACAAAGGGUCGCGAACCCGCGAGGGGGAGCCAAUCCCAAAAAGCCGCUCUCAGUUCGGAUUGCAGGCUGCAACUCGCCUGCAUGAAGCCGGAAUCGCUAGUAAUCGCGGAUCAGCAUGCCGCGGUGAAUACGUUCCCGGGCCUU